CCUACGGUGGGCAGCAGUGGGGAAUAUUGGACAAUGGGGGGAACCCUGAUCCAGCGACGCCGCGUGAGUGAAGAAGUAUUUCGGUAUGUAAAGCUCUAUCAGCAGGGAAGAAAGGAAUGACGGUACCUGACUAAGAAGCCCCGGCUAACUACGGGCCAGCAGCCGCGGUAAUACGUAGGGGGCAAGCGUGAACCGGAUUUACUGGGUGUAAAGGGAGCGUAGACGGUUACGCAAGUCUGGAGGGAAAGGCGGGGGCCCAACCCCCGGACUGCUUUGGAAACUGUAUAACUGGAGUGCAGGAGAGGUAAGUGGAAUUCCUAGUGUAGCGGUGAAAUGCGUAGAUAUUAGGAGGAACACCAGUGGCGAAGGCGGCUUCCUGGACUGUAACUGACGUUGAGGCUCGAAAGCGUGGGGAGCAAACAGGAUUAGAUACCCUUGUAGUC
rnacentral:rRNA from 1 species